rnacentral:rRNA from 1 species
UUCCAGACUCCUACGGGAGGCAGCAGUGGGGAAUAUUGCACAAUGGGGGGAACCCUGAUGCAGCGACGCCGCGUGGGUGAAGAAGCGCCUCGGCGCGUAAAGCCCUGUCAGCAGGGAAGAAAAUGACGGUACCUGAAGAAGAAGCCCCGGCUAACUACGUGCCAGCAGCCGCGGUAAUACGUAGGGGGCAAGCGUUAUCCGGAUUUACUGGGUGUAAAGGGGGCGCAGACGGCGAUGCAAGCCAGGAGUGAAAGCCCGGGGCCCAACCCCGGGACUGCUCUUGGAACUGCGUGGCUGGAGUGCAGGAGGGGCAGGCGGAAUUCCUGGUGUAGCGGUGAAGUGCGUAGAUAUCAGGAGGAACACCGGCGGCGAAGGCGGCCUGCUGGACCGUGACUGACGUUGAGGCUCGAGAGCGUGGGGAGCAAACAGGAUUAGAUACCCUAGUAA